rnacentral:rRNA from 1 species
AUUAGCGGCGGACGGGUGAGUAACACGUGGAUAACCUACCUAUAAGACUGGGAUAACUUCGGGAAACCGGAGCUAAUACCGGAUAAUAUUUUGAACCGCAUGGUUCAAAAGUGAAAGACGGUCUUGCUGUCACUUAUAGAUGGAUCCGCGCUGCAUUAGCUAGUUGGUAAGGUAACGGCUUACCAAGGCAACGAUGCAUAGCCGACCUGAGAGGGUGAUCGGCCACACUGGAACUGAGACACGGUCCAGACUCCUACGGGAGGCAGCAGUAGGGAAUCUUCCGCAAUGGGCGAAAGCCUGACGGAGCAACGCCGCGUGAGUGAUGAAGGUCUUCGGAUCGUAAAACUCUGUUAUUAGGGAAGAACAUAUGUGUAAGUAACUGUGCACAUCUUGACGGUACCUAAUCAGAAAGCCACGGCUAACUACGUGCCAGCAGCCGCGGUAAUACAUAGGUGGCAAGCGUUAUCCGGAAUUAUUGGGCGUAAAGCGCGCGUAGGCGGUUUUUUAAGUCUGAUGUGAAAGCCCACGGCUCAACCGUGGAGGGUCAUUGGAAACUGGAAAACUUGAGUGCAGAAGAGGAAAGUGGAAUUCCAUGUGUAGCGGUGAAAUGCG